GGUGAACGCUGGCGGCGUGCCUAAGACAUGCAAGUCGAGCGGGCCGCGGGGUUUUACUCCGUGGUCAGCGGCGGACGGGUGAGUAACGCGUGGGUGACCUACCCGGAAGAGGGGGACAACCCGGGGAAACUCGGGCUAAUCCCCCAUGUGGACCCGCCCCUUGGGGUGUGUCCAAAGGGCUUUGCCCGCUUCCGGAUGGGCCCGCGUCCCAUCAGCUAGUUGGUGGGGUAAUGGCCCACCAAGGCGACGACGGCUAGCCGGCCUGAGAGGGUGGGCGGCCACAGGGGCACUGAGACACGGGCCCCACUCCUACGGGAGUCAGCAGGUAGGAAGAGUCCGCAAUGGGCGCAAGCCUGACGGAGCGACGCCGCUUGGAGGAAGAAGCCCUUAGGGGUGUAAACUCCUGAACCCGGGACGAAACCCCCGACGAGGGGACUGACGGGACCGGGGGAAUAGCGCCGGCCAACUCCGUG
rnacentral:rRNA from 1 species